AACGAACGCUGGCGGCAGGCUUAACACAUGCAAGUCGAGCGCCCCGCAAGGGGAGCGGCAGACGGGUGAGUAACGCGUGGGAAUCUACCCAUCUCUACGGAAUAACGCAUGGAAACGUGUGCUAAUACCGUAUACGUCCUUCGGGAGAAAGAUUUAUCGGAGAUGGAUGAGCCCGCGUUGGAUUAGCUAGUUGGUGGGGUAAAGGCCUACCAAGGAGACGAUCCAUAGCUGGUCUGAGAGGAUGAUCAGCCACACUGGGACUGAGACACGGCCCAGACUCCUACGGGAGGCAGCAGUGGGGAAUAUUGGACAAUGAGCGCAAGCCUGGUCCAGCCAUGCCGCGUGAGUGAUGAAGGCCCUAGGGUUGUAAAGCUCUUUCACCGGUGAAGAUAAUGACGGUAACCGGAGAAGAAGCCCCGGCUAACUGCGUGCCAGCCGCCGCGGUAACAC
rnacentral:rRNA from 1 species